GACGAACGCUGGCGGCGUGCUUAACACAUGCAAGUCGAACGGAAAGGCCCUGCUUGCAGGGUACUCGAGUGGCCAACGGGUGAGUAACACGUGGGUGAUCUGCCCUGCACUUCGGGAUAAGCUUGGGAAACUGGGUCUAAUACCGGAUAGGAACCAUCUUUAGUGUGGUGGUUGGAAAGUUUUUUCGGUGUAGGAUGAGCUCGCGGCCUAUCAGCUUGUUGGUGGGGUAAUGGCCUACCAAGGCGGCGACGGGUAGCCGGCCUGAGAGGGUGUACGGCCACAUUGGGACUGAGAUACGGCCCAGACUCCUACGGGAGGCAGCAGUGGGGAAUAUUGCACAAUGGGCGCAAGCCUGAUGCAGCGACGCCGCGUGGGGGAUGAAGGCCUUCGGGUUGUAAACUCCUUUCGCUAGGGACGAAGCUUUGUUGUGACGGUACCUAGAUAAGAAGCACCGGCUAACUACGUG
rnacentral:rRNA from 1 species